GUCUAAGGCCAUACCACCCUGAACGUGCCCGAUCUUGUCUGAUCUCGGAAGCUAAGCAGGGUAGGGCCUGGUUAGUACUUGGAUGGGAAAAAUAGCUAUUAGUUA
rnacentral:rRNA from 1 species